CAGCUGUCGGUGGUGACGUGCCAGAGCCGGUGGAGCUCUGAGGUUGUGUGUGCACAGACGCCAACGUGUGCACGGCGCAGGUCCGUCUGAGAUAAGUGAACCAGAAUGCUGGAGUGAACCCUGUUACAUCACCACGCACCCGGGCCAAUUAAACCAAGCACCUCACUAACCUUGUGAUAUACUCAGCGUUGCUGUGGAGACCAAUACCAUGGCGACAGAGGGGGGUGACAAGGCGGAGACGAAGAAGAAGUCCGAGAAGAAGCAGAAGUGUGCUCCGGUGUCGACGUCCCGACCACCAGGGGGAGCUGUUCUCAGAAGGAGGAGGUGACGGAGGAGGCGGGCAGGGGUACGAGGAAGACCCAGAAGGGGGUGUGGAGGAGGGUGUUCCUCACCUGCCUCAGGAGACGACGGCGGCCGCGCCCGGAGGGCAGCACCCCCGGGUGCCCCGCGGAGCAGAUGGGUCCGUCCAGCGAGGGCGCGAAGAGGAAGAGACGCUUCCCCGGGCUGACACUUUUGCGCCGCCUCCUGCCCUCCAGCAGGGGGCGGGACGGGGGGGCGGGGCCCCGUUGUGCCGCGGAGGACGAGCGCGAAACACGCCAACCACUUCACAGCAGCCCAGGCGCCGCGGGGCGGCCAGGCAACACCCAGGAGGGGACCGACUGCGGACGGGACAACCCCCAGCGGGUCGCCCUGGAGAACAACAAUGACAAAGACGUCCCGUGGUUGUCCGAAGCAGCCCUGGACGAGGCGAGGCACGUUCUAAAGCAUCGCUCGGACCUCGACGACGUCGCCAUGGAGAUGAGUGUGCAGGAGCCCGAGGCCGCGACUGAAUCCCAGCUGGGAUGUUUUGAACCGGCAUCAGAGGUGGACCCCCAGCUGCCGGACCCCGAGGCCCCGGAGCAGAGACUGACGGACGGGUCACCUGACCCAGCAGAGAACCACCUCCCACCACCCUCCACAGCCCAUAAUGACCUGAACAACACCGCCGUGGAAACCACUGACCAGCUUCUCGACGACAAGGCCAGUCCCUCAGAUGGCACUUCUGCAGAAGAAGAAGAGGCGAUGACCCCUGCACUGUUCAAUGGCCUCCAUCGUGUUGGGGAUGGUGUUGCUAUGGUUACUGAGGACCACCCUGCUGCCCGAGCUCCCUUCCCUGUGAACGCGGUCCUCGUGGUGCCGCUGAUACGCCUCAACAGCGGCGAGGAAGAUGGCGCGUGCGAUUGGGAAGGCGGUGCGUGCCUCUGGGAAGCGCCCGCGCCGGAGGACGAGUCGCCGCUGGAGGUCGGCGUGGAGGUGGAGGUGGACUGGGAG
ensembl:lncRNA